rnacentral:rRNA from 1 species
UCGGGAAUUUUGGGCAAUGGGCGCAAGCCUGAUCCAGCCAUACCGCGUGAGUGAAGAAGGCCUUCGGGUUGUAAAGCUCUUUCAGACGGAAAGAAACGGUUACGGCUAAUACCCGUGACUAAUGACGGUACCGUAAGAAGAAGCACCGGCUAACUACGUGCCAGCAGCCGCGGUAAUACGUAGGGUGCGAGCGUUAAUCGGAAUUACUGGGCGUAAAGCGUGCGCAGGCGGUUAUAUAAGACAGAUGUGAAAUCCCCGGGCUCAACCUGGGACCUGCAUUUGUGACUGUAUAGCUAGAGUACGGUAGAGGGGGAUGGAAUUCCGCGUGUAGCAGUGAAAUGCGUAGAUAUGCGGAGGAACACCGAUGGCGAAGGCAAUCCCCUGGACCUGCACUGACGCUCAUGCACGAAAGCGUGGGGAGCAAACAGGAUUAGAUACCCUUGUAGUCCCUGAGCGGGCUGGCAAGGCGCAU